CACGAACCGGGCAAACGUUAUUCGGAAUUACUGGGCUUAAAGCGUGCGUAGGCGGCCCUAUAAGUCGGGUGUGAAAUCCCUCAGCUCAACUGAGGAACUGCGCCCGAUACUGUAGUGCUUGAGGAGGAUAGAGGUGAGCGGAACUACCAGUGGAGCGGUGAAAUGCGUUGAUAUUGCUGGGAACACCCGUGGCGAAGGCGGCUCACUGGGUCCUUUCUGACGAUGAGGCGCGAAAGCUUGGGGAGCAAACGGG
rnacentral:rRNA from 1 species